CUACGGGGGGCAGCAGUGGGGAAUAUUGCACAAUGGGCGCAAGCCUGAUGCAGCCAUGCCGCGUGUAUGAAGAAGGCCUUCGGGUUGUAAAGUACUUUCAGCGGGGAGGAAGGGAGUAAAGUUAAUACCUUUGCUCAUUGACGUUACCCGCAGAAGAAGCACCGGCGAACUCCGUGCCAGCAGCCGCGGUAAUACGGAGGGUGCAAGCGUUAAUCGGAAUUACUGGGCGUAAAGCGCACGCAGGCGGUUUGUUAAGUCAGAUGUGAAAUCCCCGGGCUCAACCUGGGAACUGCAUCUGAUACUGGCAAGCUUGAGUCUCGUAGAGGGGGGUAGAAUUCCAGGUGUAGCGGUGAAAUGCGUAGAGAUCUGGAGGAAUAUCGGUGGCGAAUGCGGCCCCCUGGACGAAGACUGACGCUCAGGUGCGAAAGCGUGGGGAGCAAACAGGAUUAGAUACCCGUGUAGUC
rnacentral:rRNA from 1 species